GGAGGCGGGCCGGCCAGGCCGGUGCCAGGAAGAGAUGCUUCGGGUCGGCGGGAGGAGGAGGAAGGCGGGAGGAGGAGGAGUUGAGGAGCCCGGGCCCGGGAGCCUCCCCGCUUACCACACUAGGAAGUGACGCUUUCCCUGAGUCCCGGAGAGAAAGAAACAAAGUUUGGGUUGGUUAUUUUACCCCUCCUCCUCCUCCUCCCCCCACGGCUUUGCUAAUCGCCGCUCUGCGGCCCCCCGCCGUGCCUCGCAGCCCAGUGUAAAAGCAAUGCAAAGUAUCGUAACGCUUCAGUAUAUUUGGAGGCAAGACACAGUAUCUUCUGGGAAUUACGGUAUCAGAACUGGUUUUGUGCUUUAUUCAAAGGACCUGUAACUAAGUGGACCCUACUGACCUCUGAACCACAAAGGAUAAGAGUGAAAAGAAGUGGGAGAAGCACACGAAGAAAAAGGAAGUGGAUGCACUUUCAUCUGGACUUCUUUCCUGCCCUUCGUUACUAAAACUGAAUGGAAAAAAGAGACUUCCGUGCCUUUCCUCCCCCAGCCUCAGGGAUGGGUGGAUUGUAAAUACAGUGUGUGCAGUUGGGAGAAUAGACUGAACCAUGAAUCUCCAGGCUCAGCAAAAGUCUUCAAGCAAAAGGACUGGGAAACGAGUUGCGUAUUUUAAUGAGCAGGAAAUAGCUGUGUCAUCAAAAGAACCACAGCAGCAGCUUAAGGAAGGACAGUACUAUGGUCAUGGAGGGAAUAUACCAGUCUCCCAAACUGUGGAGAUUACUCACGCAGGAGGAUUAAGUGCCCCCAACAACGUUGCUUUGAUGAACUCUCUUUACAGUCAAGAUAGGGGAGAAUCAAUGAUGAUGCCCCAGACGGUAACAGCUGUCAAAUGGCAGAAUUCACUAAUGGGAAAUCGGUUGCCAGAGAGGGGUGACAGUCACUGGCAGUCUCCACCUUCGAUGUGGAACCACAAUAUGGUUUUUGGGGGCAACCCAAAAGGGCCCCACUCCAAUGCUGGUGCCCCAGGCUUCUAUGGCCACCCAGAAGCCCUUAAAAGAAAUCAAGAGAAAGGAGUGUUUGUGUCACAGCUGGACUUGUAUGGAGAUGCUGUCCAGCAGAUGAUGUCCCAGAAGGCUCAGCUGGAACAGCAAGCCCUGGUUAGACAGCAAGCUCAAAUGAAUUCUUUUCAUCAGAUGCAGAAACAGCAGCAGCAGAAUCAAAGCCUGCCAUUACAGCCUUUCCAACUUGCAUUUGGUCACCAAGGCCAAAAGCAGGGUCUUCCUGAACUGUUACAUGUCUUUCAAGAAGCCCCAGCUUCUUCCAGUCCAGCAUUUACUGCUCAACAAAAACAGCAAGCUCUUCCCCAGCUACAACUGUUUGAAAAUUUCUAUCCUCAGCAGCAGCAACAGGCUGCUACACAAGCCUUCGGUCUGCAGCAAACUACUUCCAUAGCACAGCCUCAUGUGGCAGCUGCAGCACCUCAGCAUCACAUGAUGGCACACCAGUUUCAGCAAACAGAGAGGAACCAGGAGCUAUUCAAGGCUCUAACAGAGCAGAACCAACAGACUGUGCUACCUCAGACCCAGAUUCCCUUUCCAAGAAGGUCACGGAGACUCUCCAAAGAAGGUGUCCUGCUGACAUCUGCAGGAGAAGUGUUGGCUUCCAAGCAGGCAGAAGAACAACCUAGCAAUUUAUUUCUGCAUCACUGGCAAACACAUCAGCAAGAGGUCCCGUUACAGCAGCUGCCUGAAUCACUGGCCCACAACAAAAGUAGCUAUUCGCACCCCAAGAGAAUGGAUCUGGGGCAAAAGGAUGUCCUGGUCAAUAGUCAGCUGUGCCAGGUGGAAACAGACAGGCAAGCCGCAGCCCAGAAUGGUAGAGAAGGGGAGAAACAGGCAGCAGCAGCUGAAGAAAACACUCAGAGAACUAAUGAUUUUCAGGGUGUCAGAGGUGGUGUAAUCCAAAGUACUCGACGGAGACGGCGUGUUUCUCAAGAAGCCAAUUUGCUAACUUUGGCCCAAAAAGCUGUUGAGCUGGCAUCUCUUCAGAAUGUAAAGGAACUGGAUACUUCAGAAGAGAAGAGUGUUCUGAUAGCAGCUCCAGGACCCACAGCAGCAAAAAGCGUUGUGGAGUUCGCCAGUUCUUCACCAGCUCCGAAAAGAGCUCGGGAGGAUAACAGCCUCGUGCCUCUUAUCAUUCCUGUGUCUGUGCCAGUGAGAAAAAUUGACUUGCAAAGCCUUGGAAAGGAGAAGUCUGAGGAUGGAAAGCUCCAGAGAGGCCAAACAAAUGAUCGAGCUCCUUGUGAACGCAAGCCUUCUGUGAUAGUCACUCGGAGGCGAUCUAAUCGUAAUACCAACACGGAAACCUCAAAUCAGCAUGAAGAUGCAGUUCCAAAGGAUGAAGCAGAGGGCUUUGCCCGGAAACCAAAGCAGCGGCCAAGACCUGAACCACUCUUCAUACCACCAAAAGCUGGCACCUUUAUUGCACCACCUGUUUAUUCUAACAUUACUCCGUAUCAGAGCCACUUAAGGUCACCUGUCCGUCUGGCAGAUCAUCCUUCCGAUAGGAACUUUGAGCUACCUCCUUACACUCCUCCGCCAAUUCUUAGUCCAGUGAGAGAAGGAUCUGGGCUGUAUUUUAAUGCUAUUCUCUCUUCAAGUGGUCAUUCGGUUCCACCUCCAGUGACUCCUAAAAGUGCUCACAGAACUCUGCUUAGAUCAAAUAGUUCAGAAGUUACCCCUCCUGUUCUUACGGUAGUGGGGGAAGCCACCCCAGUCAGCAUCGAACCGCGAAUAAAUGUAGGAACUCGCUUUCAAGCAGAAAUUCCAUCACUCCAAGACAGAUCGCUGGCAGCGGUUGAUGAACAUAAAGCAGAGCUGGUGUGGCAGCCGUGGGGUGACCUGGAAACCAACAGAGUCACCCAAGAGAAUGUGGAAAACCUGCUAGCUGCUGCCUGUUCAAGCAUUUUUCCUGGGGCUGGAACCAACCAGGAGCUGGCGCUGCAUUUCUUACAUGAAGAAAAGGGAAGCAUUCUGGGAGCUUUGACCAAACUGCUGUUGCAGAGGCCAGUACGAUUGCCUACCCACCCUUUGGCAGAUUAUCACUACACAGGAUCAGACAAGUGGAAAGUUGCUGAAAAAAAACUUUUCAACAAAGGCAUUGCAAUCUACAAGAAAGACUUUUUCUUGGUCCAAAAGCUUAUAAAAACCAAAACAGUGGCUCAGUGUGUGGAAUUCUACUACACGUACAAAAAACAGGUGAAAAUUGGUCGGAAUGGGACCUUAAUCUUUGGGGACAUUGAUGGUGCUAAUGAGAAGUCUAUGAAAGAUGAAGCUGAAGUUGACAUCAAGAGUUCCCAUAGGUUUGCACGUGUUCUUCCUCUCAGAAGGGACACUUACAGUGAAGAACAGGGGCAUGUGGAGGAGGAGGAAGAGGAGGAAGAAGAGGAGGCAGAGGAAGGGUUAGAUAACAGAAAGAGCACAGUUCCUCUCAAAAAUGAACAGACACUACAAGAUGGUGCUAAUGAUGCCAAUAUGAGGAGUCAGGAGGCAACUGUCACAGGCAGAAUUGGAAGGAAGCCAAGGGAGACAACAGUGAAGCCUCGAAAGCCAAUUACUGCUCCAGUGCAGAGGAGGAAGCGGAAACAAAAGAUAAAAUCAGAUGCUACCAGUAAAACUCAGAACACAGAAAACACAUUUCCAUGUAAAAAAUGUGGCAGGGUGUUUUACAAGGUGAAGAGCCGCAGUGCUCACAUGAAAAGCCACGCGGAGCAGGAAAAGAAGGCGGCUGCACUGAAGCAGCAAGAGAGAGAGGAGGCAGCAGCAGUGGCAGCAGCAGCAGCAGCCCACAGCCAGGCCCGGCAGGAAGAGAGCAGCGAGAGCGGGAGCAGCACCAGUGGAAGCAGCAGUGUGAGCUCAGAUGAAGAUGGAGAAAUAUAGCAGCAGACCAGAAGUGGAGGGAGUAGCAAGGCUGGACCCAACCUCCCUCAUGGUGGUCUCACUUUUUUUGCUUGCACUUUUCUUACCUGAACCAUCAGGUCUCAGUUUCAGUGCUGCCAUUUCCUCACACCACAUGUUCCACAUCACCUUGCCAGUACUGACCAAGCCGGAAUGGUGGAUUAAAAGUUUUGUUUCAAAUUGGAUUUUUUUUUUUUUAAACAAAUAAGACUUCUAUUCUAUUUAUACCUGAGGUACACAAUAGAACAGUGUCACCUGCAGUGGAACCAAGAAGAUAACGGGCGGAUGCAGCUUCAGUUGCUUUACGGCAGUGGUGAGAGCAUGUGUGUCCCAGCCCAAGCCGCGCGCGGUCCCAGGCGGCCAGCAACAACCGUGAGGGCGUGUUAGAUUUGUGGGAAUGGUUCUAAGUUGGCUUCUGCGCUGUGAAAGAGGCCAGCUGGGUUCUGGUGCUGCCUGAAGCAAAUACAAAGGCAGGGCAGAGUAACUUGGUACCUGAGGGGCCUGGAUCAAAUCUGAAUUCCUGGAUGCCUGUGGCUGGGACAGAAAGUAGAGACUGGAAAUCUAGAGCUGGAUAAAGAAUUAACCUUUUCCUGCUGUUUAGUAGCUGAAUCUGCUGGUUGUAGAAACAAUGACUGCAGAUGCAAAUCAUACUGCAUCAUAUUUUUCAACGGUAGAGUUUAAAAAAAAGUUUUAGUAAGUACUCUCUUAAAGGCACUUGUCUGUUCCCUGAAUCUACAGAGGGGCUUUAAAGCCUAUUUUAUUAUACAGCAUUAACCUGUUUCCUCUUGCAGUAGCUAGAUCUCUUGCUGUGGAUUUUCAAUAUGAAUAUGCUUCCAUCCAUCUUCAAAACAAAGGUUCAUUCUGUUUUGGUAGUUAAAUCUUUUCAGUGUACCAGGCUACUGUUUCUCACACAUAUGGGUGUGAAGUCUUUAAAAACUGCAAAUGUUUCACUACAUGAAGCAGAUGGUAGAAACAUGUAUCAGUGCCUGACUGGCCGCCUCCUCAAUUCCAGCUAGAAGCUAACGCACACCGGUUUUCUUUUUAGUUGCUCAUUUAUACUGACAAAUUUACAUUUCAACAUCCUGGGCAAAGCUGGAAGAAGGAGGACUCAGCCCAAGACAUUAAACUGCUUUUUUCAGCCCUUGCUUUACUCAGCUCCUGUGGAUGUGGCUGUUGACCAGCAAAAGCGUUUGGAGAAGUAGGUGGUGUUUUGCUCAGUGGGAAAAAGAGCCAGGGAACGGGGAAGCCUUCGCUUCAGCUAGCAGCCUGCGACACUGCUUAAGGCUUUAAAUACCCCCUGCCAAAGCCAGCUGGCCCAAGUGCUGGAGGUUGACUGCCUGGCACUAAAGCUGUGGUGCCACACACGCAAGCCUUGCAUGACCAAAAAAGUCACAAGUUUUGGGUGUUUUAAUUUUCAUCUUUUUUUUUUUUUUAAUUGGAGGAUCCAAGCCCAAGCUUCUGGAAGUUAUUUCAGCUACUGAAAGAGGCCUUACUGAUCACUAAAGUGCUUUAUAAGUGUUGAGAUAGUGGUAGUGUGGGGAAUUCCGCAGUAAUUCCUUACAUGUUUUUUAAAUAGCAUUACAGUGUCCUUGCCAGGGCGCUGUUGUCAUUAGUGAGCCUGACCAGCCCCAGUGCGGGGGGAAGCUUGUUCUUUCUAUCUGAGUUUUGAAAACUUCAGCCUUCAAGAGCCAGCAUCACUGAAAUGUCAUUUUAUUACUUCAGUUUUGUUAAUCAAUUAACCUCUUGUCCUGGUUUAAUGGAAUUGAUAGUUAACAGAACUUUAAUUUGCUUUGAAUUUGUAAUUUUGUAUUGAAGAAAGACUAGCCCUUUAUUUAACUGGGAAAACAUAAUCCAGGAGUGCAGCACAGACUGGGAUCCACCUGGCUGGAGAGCAGCUCUGUGGAAAGGGACCUGGGGGUCCUGGUGGACAGGAAGCUCAACAUGAGCCAACAGUGGCUGCUGCGGCCAAGAAGGCCAACAGGAUGCUGGGUUGCAUCAAAAAGGGCAUCGCCAGCACAGAUAAAGAGGUCAUCAUC